GGCAUGCCUUACACAUGCAAGUCGAACGGCAGCACGGGGGCAACCCUGGUGGCGAGUGGCGAACGGGUGAGUAAUGCAUCGGAACGUGCCCAGUAGUGGGGGAUAACCAGUCGAAAGACUGGCUAAUACCGCAUACGACCUAAGGGUGAAAGCGGGGGACCGUAAGGCCUCGCGCUAUUGGAGCGGCCGAUGUCUGAUUAGCUAGUUGGCGGGGUAAGAGCCCACCAAGGCGACGAUCAGUAGCUGGUCUGAGAGGACGACCAGCCACACUGGGACUGAGACACGGCCCAGACUCCUACGGGAGGCAGCAGUGGGGGAUUUUGGACAAUGGGCGCAAGCCUGAUCCAGCCAUGCCGCGUGCGGGAAGAAGGCCUUCGGGUUGUAAACCGCUUUUGGCAGGAACGAAACGGCGCAAGCCAAUACCUUGCGCUAAUGACGGUACCUGCAGAAUAAGCACCGGCUAACUACGUGCCAGCAGCCGCGGUAAUACGUAGGGUGCAAGCGUUAAUCGGAAUUACUGGGCGUAAAGCGUACGCAGGCGGCUUUGCAAGACAGGUGUGAAAUCCCCGGGCCUAACCUGGGAACUGCAUUUGUGACUGCAUCGCUAGAGUCUGUCAGAGGGGGGUGGAAUUCCACGUGUAGCAGUGAAAUGCGUAGAGAUGUGGAAGAACACCGAUGGCGAAGGCAGCCCCCUGGGAUGAGACUGACGCUCAUGUACGAAAGCGUGGGGAGCAAACAGGAUUGGAUACCCUGGUAGUCCACGCCCUAAACGAUGUCUACUAGUUGUCGGGGGGUAACUCCUUCGGUAACGCAGCUAACGCGUGAAGUAGACCGCCUGGGGAGUACGGUCGCAAGAUUAAAACUCAAAUGAAUUGACGG
rnacentral:rRNA from 1 species